rnacentral:snRNA from 1 species
GUGCUUGUUUUGGCAGCACAUACACUAAAAUUGGAAUGAUUAACAUGGCCCCUGCGCAAGGAUGACACGCAAAUUCAUGAAGCUUUCCAUAUUUCU